UACAUGCAGUCGAACGCGUUGGCCCAAUUGAUUGAUGGUGCUUGCACCUGAUUGAUUUUGGUCGCCAACGAGUGGCGGACGGGUGAGUAACACGUAGGUAACCUGCCCAGAAGCGGGGGACAACAUUUGGAAACAGAUGCUAAUACCGCAUAACAGCGUUGUUCGCAUGAACAACGCUUAAAAGAUGGCUUCUCGCUAUCACUUCUGGAUGGACCUGCGGUGCAUUAGCUUGUUGGUGGGGUAACGGCCUACCAAGGCGAUGAUGCAUAGCCGAGUUGAGAGACUGAUCGGCCACAAUGGGACUGAGACACGGCCCAUACUCCUACGGGAGGCAGCAGUAGGGAAUCUUCCACAAUGGGCGCAAGCCUGAUGGAGCAACACCGCGUGAGUGAAGAAGGGUUUCGGCUCGUAAAGCUCUGUUGUUAAAGAAGAACACGUAUGAGAGUAACUGUUCAUACGUUGACGGUAUUUAACCAGAAAGUCACGGCUAACUACGUGCCAGCAGCCGCGGUAAUACGUAGGUGGCAAGCGUUAUCCGGAUUUAUUGGGCGUAAAGAGAGUGCAGGCGGUUUUCUAAGUCUGAUGUGAAAGCCUUCGGCUUAACCGGAGAAGUGCAUCGGAAACUGGAUAACUUGAGUGCAGAAGAGGGUAGUGGAACUCCAUGUGUAGCGGUGGAAUGCGUAGAUAUAUGGAAGAACACCAGUGGCGAAGGCGGCUACCUGGUCUGCAACUGACGCUGAGACUCGAAAGCAUGGGUAGCGAACAGGAUUAGAUACCCUGGUAGUCCAUGCCGUAAACGAUGAGUGCUAGGUGUUGGAGGGUUUCCGCCCUUCAGUGCCGGAGCUAACGCAUUAAGCACUCCGCCUGGGGAGUACGACCGCAAGGUUGAAACUCAAAGGAAUUGACGGGGGCCCGCACAAGCGGUGGAGCAU
rnacentral:rRNA from 2 species